CGUCCGCUGCAAAUGGAAAAACAGGAGGGAGACCAUUUGUUUUGUCCCAUUUUCUUCAUUUUCUCUUCUUUUCUUCAAGCUAAAUCAAAAGGGAGUGUGCUUAGGAGGAUUAUAUCCAAGAAAACAAAUUAAAUGACAACUUAGAGAGUUAUAGAGCUUGAGAGAAACAAAGAGAAGAAGCUGGAAAUUGGAAGAGGAGGACAUGAUUUUUGUAAAUUUUUGCAAGAAUUCAUUGAAAUAAGUUAAAGUAGCAAAGGGCUGGAACUUCGGCAGCCAUAUUUUGACUUUGCACCGUUGGAUUAGAGUGAUUUUUGGAUAUGUUAUUAUACUCAAUGUUACCUACAUUCUGACCGGAGGGAUUGCAAAUAUCAGAUUUCGUUUGAGGGCUGUCACCGGAGGAACAUUUCUGGAAAAUCACCCUUCAAGACAGCUUUGUUCGUCGGCCGUUAUAUCAUCGUUUCACCGUUGGAUUGGUCUGGAUUUUGGAUAUGUUAUUCAUCCAGAUGUUAUAUAAAAUCUGAACGGUUUGGAUUGGAAAAGAACACUCCUACCAGAAAUUAUACUUCCCGAACAGCAGGUCUCCAAAUUUCAGGAGAAGCAUUCACUCGACUUCUCAGGAGCUCGUAUAGUAGGAGCUUAAGGAGGGACUGCAAGAGGGGCACAACAACAACAAGGAAGAGCGAGUUGAGCUUCUGCAGCUGGGUGUUCUUCUGGUGCUCUCCUCUGGUGCUCUUCUAGCCAAGGGAAGGGCCAAGCUUUGGCCGGUUUCGGGAGAAGAAAAGGGAGAAAACCCCAAAAUGGGAGGGGCGGUCACUGUGUUGAUGACCAGGAGAGGGGAACCGGGUGAAGGCUAGGGUAAAAGGUGAGCGGCGGCUUGGUUUUCUUUGUCUUUGGCAAAGUGAGGGAGGCCACAGGGAGAUGGUUAUCUGUGGCCGGCUGGGAGAAGGAAUGGCCGAGAGAGGGGAGAGGAUGAUGGCUCUGAAAUGGCCGGCCUCAGGAAAAAAAAGCAGAGGAAGAGGGGGGACUUUUGUUCUCUGGUUCUCUUUUGGCCAAGGGAAGGGAGGGGUGGCUGGCGCUUCGGCUUGGACUUGAAGAUGAGAGGAAAUGGGGGGAGCGAUGAUGGGAAGAUGACAGGGUUGGUCUCUUGGGGGGCUGUCUUGUGCUCUCUGGUGCUCUUUUGGCCAAGGGAAGGGCCAAGCUUUGGCUGGCAGCUGAGGGGAGAAGGGUCCGUCUCAAAUGGCCGGGGCUCCUGGUGGUGAGCUGGAGAAAAAAUGGUGAUGGAGGGGGGCCGCCGCCUCCCUUUUCAAAAAUGGUUUUUUUUCUUUUAAGGGUUAGGUUUUCUUUUUUGUUUUUCCCCAAAAUCUUCUUUUCCCCGGGUCCCUCCUUUUCUUUCUUUCAUUGUAGCUUGGUUUUUUAUAGGAGAAGUGUUGCUUGGCCAAAAUUAUAUUCGUCCCUCAACUUUUUAUUUAUUUAUUUUUGUU